rnacentral:lncRNA from 1 species
GAUCCGGCGCUCCGGGUCCGCUACGUGGUGAAACUCGAAUUCCAAGACAAGCGCUUCGUAAUUUCUAUGCUCCAGGUUCGCUACCUGGUGAAACUCGACGUCCAGGACAAGCGCUCCGUAGUUCCUGCGCUGCAGGUCCGCGCUGCCUGGUGAAACUCGAGUUCUAGGACAAGCGCUCCGUAGUUCUGACUGUCCAGGUCCUUGACCUGACGACUUUUGACCUUACGGAUUAUUUUCAGGUUUACAAGUUUGAUUAUUGGAAACGUCAUGUUUUUUACUAUCAAACCAGUAUUCAUGCUUCAUAUAACAUGUUGAAUCGAACCCAAAAACCGAACGACCAGGAUCAACAAAUUGUAAUUGAUGAGUGGUACAUGACAAUACCGUCGUUCCAUUAUAGCUAAAAUUGCUGUGCGUAGUGUUUCAAAUCUGUCAGCACUUAGCUGAUUGUUCUGUGGUAUUUUUUCACGAAAUUUAUUGUCAUAAAAUCGCAAUACGUUAUACCUACGUGCAUGUGUAAACGUAAUUUGUAGCAUUAUGUAGAAAAAAUUUUACGGGCAGAUUCGGUUUGCGUCACAUGCACAAAGACAGUGUUGAUUCUGUAUACAAUGAAGCAAAUACCAGAACUUUUUGGGGAGUGAUCGUGCCCCAGUCACCCCUAAAACUAUGUCAUCUGGUAAAACACUGACAACGAGGAAGCGAGCGUACGAGCACAAAAACCAGUUACACUAGGCAUCCGACCCCGAGCAAGCUUUGGCGACAAAACUUACGCACUCCAUUUUUCUUCCCAAUUCGAGAUUCCAGUAGCGAGGCGCUUCAAUGGCCAGCUCAUCACUUCGCCAUUUUAAGACAAUUGAUGACAUGAAAAUUUUUUUGGUAGUUUCCAAAUGUGAGUUGAAAUACACUCGAAAUUUUAGAUAGCUUCGUUAGUUAUCUCUCAUUAGAAAAUAAAUAGACAACAAUGAACGUUUCGCUUAAAAAUGAUCGUAUUUGAUUGAUUUGAAGGAAAAUAUGUGUACUUUUCUCGAUCUUUCAUAUGGCAGCAUUUAAAGAACCCGGUUUCCACUUUGAACCGACACGAAAGAUAUUUUUUGUCCAUUAUCUGAUUUUAUUAUUCACCUUUUUUCGGUGUUACUUGAAUAUUUAGUUAUACAAUUAUUGAUUGCUUUCAGUUUUCAACCAUUUGUAUACCAUAAUAAUAUAAAUGCAAUAAUUAUGAUCAACUAUUUUCAUGUAAACCAAUAACAAAAAGCUAUGUGACUAUUUGUGCACGUAUUUGAGGUAUAACCCGAGGUGAUAAGCGGUGGUCGUCGGACGUAGUUGAAGGUGAUCAGAGGUGGUUAGAGAUGGUUGCGGGUGAUCAAGGUGGACGAGGAUUUGUGCUAGGUAUAACCCGGGGUGGUUAUCGGUGGUUGUUGGAGGUG